rnacentral:rRNA from 1 species
GAUGAACGCUGGCGGCGUGCCUAAUACAUGCAAGUCGAGCGAACAGACGAGGAGCUUGCUCCUCUGACGUUAGCGGCGGACGGGUGAGUAACACGUGGAUAACCUACCUAUAAGACUGGGAUAACUUCGGGAAACCGGAGCUAAUACCGGAUAAUAUAUUGAACCGCAUGGUUCAAUAGUGAAAGACGAUUUUGCUGUCACUUAUAGAUGGAUCCGCGCCGCAUUAGCUAGUUGGUAAGGUAACGGCUUACCAAGGCAACGAUGCGUAGCCGACCUGAGAGGGUGAUCGGCCACACUGGAACUGAGACACGGUCCAGACUCCUACGGGAGGCAGCAGUAGGAAAUCUUCCGCAAUGGGCGAAAGCCUGACGGAGCAACGCCGCGUGAGUGAUGAAGGUCUUCGGAUCGUAAAACUCUGUUAUUAGGGAAGAACAAAUGUGUAAGUAACUAUGCACGUCUUGACGGUACCUAAUCAGAAAGCCACGGCUAACUACGUG